rnacentral:rRNA from 1 species
UACGGAGGGUGCAAGCGUUAAUCGGAAUUACUGGGCGUAAAGCGUGCGUAGGUGGUUUGUUAAGUCUGAUGUGAAAGCCCUGGGCUCAACCUGGGAAUUGCAUUGGAUACUGGCAGGCUAGAGUGCGGUAGAGGAUGGCGGAAUUCCCGGUGUAGCAGUGAAAUGCGUAGAGAUCGGGAGGAACAUCUGUGGCGAAGGCGGCCAUCUGGACCAGCACUGACACUGAGGCACGAAAGCGUGGGGAGCAAACAGG